AAUAUGUGUGUGUGUAUGUAUGUAUGUAUGUAUAUAUAUAUGUAUGUAUGUAUAUGUAUAUAUAUGUAUAUGUGUAUAUAUAUUUAUGUAUGAACUCCACUCUCGUAUGAUUGAAGAUCUUUUUUUGUAAAUAUUGGAAAACAAAAGCCUUAACAAAUAACAUUGAAAUGCUGCAAAAAAACAAAACAAAAACUCGACAUCACUUUCUUAUUUGAGCUACACAUAUUACUCCCAUACACAUACGCACAUAAACAUUUAUAGGUCACGCAUUUACAGAUACACACAUGUAAAUCUAUCUAUCUGUCUGUCUGUCUACACACAUAUAUAAUUCACUUAAUAGCGGGAUGCGAAGCUCAACAAAAAUGGCCUUUGUUAUGAGAUUACAAAACCAUGAUAUUAGUCAGUAUUCUUGUCUAUUAUAAUAUAAUACUUGUAUUUUAUUUAUUCUCUUUUGUUUUCUCUAAAAAAUUCUUCAGUUAAGAAUUCUGCCCUUUUUUUUGACUCUGGGAUACCCAGCAAGUACGUGGUUUUACCAGUAUGCAUGUGGAAUAAAUGUCUGUUGAUACUUCAAGUGCAUCUUGCUUGCUCUUCUCCUUCAUGUGCCCCAUGGCCUGUUAAGGACUUUCUUUCUUCCUUGUAACCCACACCAGAACACAGGGGCAAAGCGAAUAAAAAUUUUAAACUGCACACAACAAGCAAUCUUUCAAACGCUGCACUGAUGCACUUGAAACUCUCUAUGAGAGGCUGUGCUUUCUAUGUGCCCUGAUUGAGCAGGAAGAGCUAAGGUUCAUCAUAUGGGUUAUCAUUAUCUUAAGUUUGCCUUCAUCUAUUUAAGAACUCUGUGUGUGUGUGUGUGUGUGUGUGUGUGUGUGUGUGUGUAUCGAGUGCAAUAGAUGCCAUGUGGCAACUGGGAUUUCACUGAUGGCAUUAAAUUUCUUUGUAAUGUAUAAAAUACACACACAUGCGUGCAUACACAUAUACCUUCAUGCAUGCACACACAUAUACCUUCAUGCAUGCACACACACAGACAUGCUUGUGUUUGAAGUGUUUAGUUUGAGAUUGGCAUCUACUUCUAUGCAUCUCUGAAUAUAUUCACACGCAUAUACACAUGAACAUAAACAUAUUUUUACAUAUGCACACACACACACGCGUUACCAUCAAAUAUACAUACACUAUGUAUGUGUGUGUGAGUGUAAUGUUUGAGAGAGAGAGAGAGGGAGGGAGGGAGGGAGAAAAACUAGCUGUUUGUAUGCAAAUGAAUCUUAUCAUAUCUCUGAACUAUUAUUUUAAUUAAAAGCAGUGGGUGUUUCGAAUAAGAACCAUGGAGGUUAAAUGCAUUCUGGAAUUCCUGUCCAUUUCUCGUGGUUCCACAUUCAAAUUCCAUCCAGAUAGGGUUGAUAAAAUAACUCUAAAUGCUUAAUUGGAAUCAAUCUAAUUAUAACUUUUCUUUCAUCCCACCAAACACUUGUUGUUCAAUAAUUACUCUUUUAAUUAUCAUUGCAAAAAUAAACCCAAAAAGCAAACAAAGACCCAAAAAUUCAGUGCUUCAUUUUUUUUUUUAAAUAAUUUUAUACUGCAUUUUGUGUGCAAGCUUUUGUGUGUCAACAAUAAAUAUAUUUUAUCUUAAAUUU
rnacentral:lncRNA from 1 species